CUCUUCUCUACCUCCGUAAAGAUGAUCUCUGAUGAACAGACAUGAUCAUGCCUGGAGAACAGGGAUGGACAGUCCCGCUUCUGAAAGACCCUGUCUGGCUGAUGAUUCAUGGUGCGCCGGGCAGACCCCAGGCCAAGAGACCCCACCCACAGUACCUGAGUGCUCAGCUGGGAACCAGACCAGACCUCAAAACAGGUUCCCAAGGUUACCACCCAACCCUGCCAACUUUCGCACCCCGCAA
rnacentral:lncRNA from 1 species